rnacentral:rRNA from 1 species
UACGUAGGGUGCAAGCGUUGUCCGGAAUUAUUGGGCGUAAAGAGCUCGUAGGUGGCCUGUCGCGUCGGCUGUGAAAACUCGGGGCUCAACUCCGAGCUUGCAGUCGAUACGGGCGGGCUAGAGUUCGGCAGGGGAGACUGGAAUUCCUGGUGUAGCGGUGAAAUGCGCAGAUAUCAGGAGGAACACCGGUGGCGAAGGCGGCAUCCUGGACCAAUUCUGACGCUGAGGAGCGAAAGCCAGGGGAGCAAACGGU